AAAAGGACACUGGCCUGCAACCAGAGUCCUCCAAACCCUCAAACACCCCAAAUGGAGGAAAUGGAACACUCUAAAGAGGUCAGGCUGGCCUGGAACCAAAAGUUCAGCCCAUCUCUGCCUCCUGAGUAUUAGGGUUAAAGGCAUGCAUUACCAAUGUCCAGCUCUUUAAGACUUUUAAUAAGAACAACUGCAUUUUUUUUUUCUUCAGCUUAUAUUUAACGACCCUCCCCCCAACUAUCCUACCAGAUCAACACCAUGAAAAAACCAAAUUCUCGAAUAGAGCUAAUUCUUCCAAUCACUAUAUCACCACGUUCAAUAUCUCGGAAGAACAGCUCUCUCCGGUCCAUGCUCGGGAUCUCCAUGAACUGCUCUAAAGGUGGCAUGACGGCAUAAAGAUCUGGAAUCAAAUCAAAUCAAAUCACCACGAUAAUUUUGACUUCCUUCUCUUUUGAUAUACUGCUUUAAACCAACCAAUAAAUCUUCAGACUAAA